AAUGUCGGAAGAUCUAGUCAAAUGUGAACAUUUUGCGACGCAUUCAACGUCGUCCGGUGAGCGGACAGCCACAAAGUUGAUAUCCGGUGUGGACGUUAAUUAAUGUGCAUAUAUCAGAUCAGUGAUAAUAUAAUUAAUGUGUUUUGAUUGGUGUGCAAAAAUCGAGGUGACAUUUAUUUUGGUGAUUCGAAAUGCAGAGAAAUUCGAUAUGUGCUGUAUGAAAUUAAUCUUAUUAAUUAUUGCUGGAUGCAGAUGUUAACAAGGUCGAGUUGUAGGAGUAUGUGACCCGUUCAAGUCGAACGCUGGUAGAGAAUGAGCAUGAGCACAGAAUCUGAACCCGCGCCACACCCAACUGGAAGCAGCGCACGAACGCGCCAACUCGACCAGUUCACCGCGCAGCCACGAAAACAUGGAAGACCGCAACAAGGACGCCCGCUUCGGUGGUUCGAUCCCAGGUAUAUCGAAGAAAACAAUCGUUUGCAGCCGAAUGGCGAGCGUAAAAUUCGCGUUGGAAAAUCGUCGAAAAUUGUAAAGAUGUAAAGAUUCGCCCUCUGCAGACGAAUAAAGCUCGCGAGCUGAGCGGAAUAAUCAACGAAUACGCCACGGUGACAUUUGGUUUCGGUGGGAUUCCAGCCCGGGCGGUGCUUGUUGACUUUAUAAGCGACACAUUUGUACCCGUAUUAGGUAGUUGGUCCUAGGUAUGGGAGUUUCGACGAGUUCGAAAGCACGACGACCGGCAAGCGAAUUAGCUGAUUAUAUCCGACCUCUCGCAAGCACGUUAAAAGCUCUCGUGCGCUUAAAGUGGAGUUGGAAAGUCAUAUGAGGACGGCGUGGAGCCCAGCGGGCAAGUAGACGUCGCCGUCUAAUUAAGACAAGAUGAUGAGUUUGCACACGCUCGCUGGAGACAGGGGGUGUGCGUCCGGUGGCGGCGCAUGCCGCGUCGAAGGCGCCCCGACGCACUGCGCCUCUCUCGCUCGACGGCGGCGGCGGCAGCAGCGUGCAGCACACGGGAUGCACGCCCGGCAUUUUCGCGAGAGGAACACGCGUGAUGUACACCGCGACGCGAGACACCGCGACGCAAGAGGCGACGCACACCUACGGCGCCGCGAACACGGCGCAAAUCGCACGCACACACUCGCGACACCUGCAACAAUUAACAAAGAUUAGUAUAAUAAAAAAAUGUUACGGCUCUCCCGCCUCCAGCACGUCUUCCAAUCUCAAACGCGUCCAGUUACAAACUAAACGUAGAGAGAAAAAAAACUAAGACUUUUUUUUUACAAUUUCAACAUGAUUGAUCAAUUUAUUUUAAUACUUUUUAUUUCAAUGCGUAAUUACACUCUUUAUUCUUGUAAGUAUAGUUAGUUUAUAGCAAAACUUCAACUAGUUUGUCCUUGUUUUACGAGCGUUGUCUGACAUGCGCAUUAAUUUGUUCAACCAGUGCUAUAAAUUUACUGCUUAUUUACCUACUAUUAAUUUAGUCCGUUUACAUAAACGGGCGAAAGUUUGAAUUGCCGAUCGAUGCGAUAAUGCUCACAGCUUUAAUUCACCGGAAGAAUAAUUGUCCUCGAUAGUUGAUCAAUCAUUUUAAUAGUAAUGUAAUAAAUUACUCAAUGUUUGCAUAACAUUUGAUUCCUUUCUCUUCUACGUCAGAUAAAUCAUAUUUUUAAUAUGAUUUUCUAAAAAUACAUUUUCAAUCCGCAAUGAGGCGUGAUCAAUUGGCCGCGGUGGCAAUUUGUUCGAGUUGAGCGAGUGCAGCAUCUGCGUAAAUUCUCGCGGACUUUUGACUUUUAGACGGUUUUACAUCUAACGAUUCGAUGUGAUCGCUGGCGAUAAAGUUUGAAUUGCGAAAACGUUAACUUUCUGUAUAAACGCGUUUUCCUUUUGAAACUCUUUCCAUUUGGUUUCCAUUUGGCUAACGGUCAGUGAGAUAAAACGCGUAAAAAAUUUUUUAAAGUAUCCAACGAUGCAUAACUAACAAAAACGUAAAAAUUGGAUAAGUAACUAAAGAAUAAAAAUAAAAACUUGGCUUUUAGAUGAGAAUUAGUUGUGCAAAGUAUUGAUUUUUAUUAUUUCUGUAUUUAGUCAUUGGAAAAACGUAAAAUCGUAAAGAUAACAAAAGGAUUAGCCUCGAUGAUAUGUGAUAAACGAAGACAUCGGUAAAUUUCGAACAUAAUCGUUGUCUACAUUGCUUUACACCAUGCCGAGAGGAAUAAAAACAAGCGCACGAACAAAACACAUUCGAAUUCUUUCUCACAAGUCACCGAAUUGUGUUUUCAACCAGCAAAAGUUGUAAACUAAACGUGAUAACAACACAAAUUUCGCAACGCAUGCGCCUGCAUCGACAAAGAAGCAAAAACUAAAGCGCUUUGCUUCCACAUGAGUUCGAUUUAUUGUUUUAUCGAAGUUGAACUUCUAGUAACUAUUGCCAAGAUAACAAACGCUGGAAGGCAUGCAGUGCAAUGAAAAUGCGCCACAGAUAUAUACAUUGUACGUGCUGACGUGCCAAGAUUUAAAGCCAGAAGUAAAAUUUAUAUUUUGCGCAAAACUUGCGCGGAUUAAGUGCAGCGAAACGUAUGAAAGCUAUAGCGCUGUAAAAGUACGAAAUAAAUUUUUAAUAGAAAUAAAUAAAUGUGCAAACAAAUUAAGCGGCAAGAAAACGAAGAGAUUUGAAAGCGUAAAGUGAAGAAGUCGUAAACUUAAUUAACUAUCCGGCGCUCGACGGCGGACGGAACGUGUCCGGCGUCGAACUACUCGAAACACUACUUUGACUUGUCCACAGAUUUGAUAACAGUGCAAAAAACAAGCAGAACAAACAAUCAAAGAGUAAAAAAAUCACAGACUAUACACACACUCAUCGAAAAUAUGAUACCUUCGUGAUAGUUGCUUGCUUGUUGCUGACGCUUGUGUUUUAGCACAGAGAAAACUUAACUUUCGCAGCGAACGCCCUCUGGGAGCGUCUCAAAGUUGACGCGCUGUGUGCUCCGUCGGCAUCAGGCAACUUUGUGAGGAAAUUCCAGUUGCAGCUUGCUGCUUGCACAAGCUGCAACGGGAAUCGUCAAGUUUGUACUUACAGAUGCGAAUGUCAGCCGAGUAUUCACUCGGCGUUGGCCGUACAGACUUUAUAACCCCCCAAGCUACCCGUUCAUUUUACAAGUUUUAGUAUGUACCGCUUUUCGUGUGCUCCACUAAAACUCGACGCCGUCCUCGGGCAGAUAGCGGGCCAGCUCUUCAGACCAACGAAUGGUAUAAAGUAUAAAGGAGUCGCGCCUCGGUCGCGCCAACAUGAUUUGUGAAGAGAACAGGAGACACAAGAGAGAAGGACCUUUUAUCUGUUACAGUACAGCAUUAAUGCAACAAAAUACAAUUGCAUACAAUUUUAUAAAUUGUUAAUAAUUGCCGAAAUGUGAUCAAAAUUUAUUUGUAAUGAUUUUUUAUUGAUUGAAGUGAAUUUAAUAAAUUUUGUUUGUGUG